UACGUAGGGUGCAAGCGUUGUCCGGAAUUAUUGGGCGUAAAGAGCGUGUAGGCGGCCCGAUUAGUCCGCUGUGAAAGUCCAGGGCUCAACCCUGGAAUGCCGGUGGAUACUGUCGGGCUAGAGUCCGGAAGGGGCGAGUGGAAUUCCUGGUGUAGCGGUGAAAUGCGCAGAUAUCAGGAGGAACACCCAAUGGCGAAGGCAGCUCGCUGGGACGUGACUGACGCUGAGACGCGAAAGCGUGGGGAGCAAACAGG
rnacentral:rRNA from 1 species